AACGAACGCUGGCGGCGUGCUUAAGACAUGCAAGUCGAACGGUAAGGCGAAUCAACCUUCGGGUUGCUUCGCACACGAGUGGCGCACGGGUGAGUAACGCGUGGGUAAUCUGCCUUCGGGUCGGGGACAACUUCGGGAAACUGGAGCUAAUACCGGAUAAGACCACGAGGCCUCCGGGCUUUGCGGAAAAAGAUGGCCUCUCCUUGGAAGCUAUCGCCUGUUGAUGAGCCCGCGUCCCAUUAGCUUGUUGGUGAGGUAACGGCUCACCAAGGCUUCGAUGGGUAGCUGGUCUGAGAGGAUGAUCAGCCACACUGGAACUGAGACACGGUCCAGACUCCUACGGGAGGCAGCAGUCGGGAAUUUUGGGCAAUGGGCGAAAGCCUGACCCAGCAACGCCGCGUGAGGGAUGAAGGCCUUCGGGUCGUAAACCUCUGUCGGGAGGGACGAACGGUAGCCAUUCGAAUAGGGUGGCAGCCUGACGGUACCUCCAAAG
rnacentral:rRNA from 1 species